rnacentral:rRNA from 1 species
CCUACGGGGGGCUGUAGUGAGGAAUAUUGGUCAAUGGACGAGAGUCUGAACCAGCCAAGUAGCGUGAAGGAUGACUGCCCUAUGGGUUGUAAACUUCUUUUAUAUGGGAAUAAAAUGUUCCACGUGUGGGAUUUUGUAUGUACCAUAUGAAUAAGGAUCGGCUAACUCCGUGCCAGCAGCCGCGGUAAUACGGAGGAUCCGAGCGUUAUCCGGAUUUAUUGGGUUUAAAGGGUGCGUAGGUGGAUUGUUAAGUCAGUUGUGAAAGUUUGCGGCUCAACCGUAAAAUUGCAGUUGAAACUGGCAGUCUUGAGUAGAGUAGAGGUGGGCGGAAUGCGUGGUGUAGCGGUGAAAUGCUUAGAUAUCACGAAGAACUCCGAUUGCGAAGGCAGUUCACUGGACUUCAACUGACACUGAGGCUCGAAAGUGUGGGUAUCAAACAGGAUUAGAUACCCUUGUAGUC